GAAUAUUGGACAAUAGGCGGAAGCCUGAUCCAGCCACGCCGCGUGAGUGAAGAAGGCAUAUGGGUUGUAAAGCACUUUAAGCGAGGAGGAGGAGCUCUUGGUUAAUACCCAAGAUGAUUGGACGUUACUCGCAGAAUAAGCACCGAAUAACUCAGUGACAGCCGCCGCGGUAAUACAGAGGGUGCAACCGUUAAUCGGAUUUACUGUGCGUAAUGCGCGCGUAGGUGGCCAAUUAAGUCAAAUGUGAAAUCCCCGAGCCUAACUUGGGAAUUGCAUUCGAUACUGGUUGGCUAGAGUAUGGGAGAGGAUGGUAGAAUUCCAGGUGUAGCGGUGAAAUGCGUAGAGAUCUGGAGGAAUACCGAUGGCGAAGGCAGCCAUCUGGCCUAAUACUGACACUGAGGUGCGAAAGCAUGGGUAGCAAACA
rnacentral:rRNA from 1 species